GAACAAGCAGUUCUUACAUCCACACACCCGACACCGAAAGGACCAAGCAACCAGCUACAUCUCCCCUACAGCAACUACCACAAGAACACAUGAAGGCGACACAAGCUACCCAUCGAUCCGAACCGCACAGACAGACACCUAACCUAGCCGCCGAAGCCGUAGAGGGUACGACCCUGGCGCUUGAGCGCGUAGACGACGUCCAUGGCGGUGACGGUCUUGCGGCGGGCGUGCUCCGUGUAGGUGACGGCGUCGCGGAUGACGUUCUCGAGGAAGAUCUUGAGCACGCCGCGGGUCUCCUCGUAGAUCAGCCCGGAGAUGCGCUUCACGCCGCCCCUCCUCGCCAGCCUCCGGAUCGCCGGCUUCGUGAUCCCCUGGAUGUUGUCGCGAAGCACCUUCCGGUGACGCUUCGCGCCGCCCUUGCCGAGCCCCUUGCCGCCCUUGCCCCUGCCCG
rnacentral:lncRNA from 1 species